UGGAAUUUCCCAUUUCAUCACCAUAUACAAAAAUAUCAUAAACUAGUGCUUGUGAAAUUAAGUAGCAAAUUAUCUAAUUUCCACCAAACUCUGUAAAUGGCAAUGGCGGCAAGAUUGAGUCAAAUGAUUUCUUGCAAUUGAAAAUCAAGACAAGAAGCUAAGAUUCCAUCUAAGAGAGGAGAAGAGAAGUUGUUCUGCUUUCAUCUACUCUUCUUCUUGCUCACUCCAAAUCCCACCUUAAAUUCUUCAUAGCAACCAGAGAGGAAUGACGGCUUAUGGUGCAGUGAAUUCUCUGAGGAAUACAAUUGAUUAUAUUCUCCAUUCUUCUCAUUUUAGCCUCGUUGAUCCCUCUCCAAAUAUCAUACAAGUCGCCUACGAGGAGUUGAAUCCAUUGCAAGAAAUUCUUGAAAGAUUGGACAGCACGAGCAAGAGCAGGAGCAGGAGCAGGAAGAAGGUGAAUGCUUUGGAUGAAAGAAUCAAAGAGUUGAUUUGGGAAUUCGAGGAUAUAUUGGAAUCACUUGUCUACCAACAUAUUCUUUCACAGUUUCCUGCAGACCAAGUAGAUGAAGAUGAUGUUGGCGGUGAGAAAAUCAGAUUCACCAUUGAUCUGCAAUUCCUACAACAUCAUAUUCCUUCCUUCAUCGAGAGGCUCGAGGAAAUGGAAGAGGAAUACAUUUAUGAAGUAGACAAUAUGCCUGAAGAUGAAGAUGACGACGAGGUCGAAUCUAUUUCCUCAAGAAGUGGGACCAAGUCCAAGAUGAUUGGAUUAUCGGAUCAAUUCCAACAUCUAAAAUGGAGUCUUACGGCAACUUCCAAGCAAUGUUUCUUCGCCGCACUUGUUGGAACUGCAGGCGUUGGGAAGACAGCUCUGGCUGAGGCAGUUUUUGAAGAUCCUGAAAUCAUUAGCCAUUUUGAGCAUCGCAUAUGGGUUACUGUGGGCAGAAAAUCUCAAUUCGACGAUGUUUCACGAGACAUUCUAGCUCAAAUGUAUGGAAUCACACAAGGAGAUCAUGAAUUAGGUGCCUACUUGAAAGAAAGAUCGGAGGGAAUGAAAUGUCUCAUUGUGCUCGAUGAUGUGUGGGAGGAACAGAUAUUGGAUUCCUUGAAACGAUGCUUCAGGAACAUUGAUAAUGGAUCAUUUCAUAUCUUGGUUACUACUCGAGAUCGAAACGUAAUUCUUGCAAUGAUUAAUCCUUUUUCUAUAAUGUUAGUGCGGUUUUUGAAGGAGGACGAAGGUAAGGAGCUGCUAUGCGAGAAGGUGUUUGGUGAGAAGAGUUGCCCUUUUCAACUUGAUAAAGCCGCUAACAAAAUUGUCAAGAACUGUGAAGGUCUUCCUCUCAUGAUAGUCACAGUGGCUAGCAUCCUAUCAAAAGCCCAUAACAUAGAUCCGAAAUAUUGGGAGGACGUAGCAGAAUUGCGAAAUUCAGUCUUCACCGAUGCAUAUAAUGAGAUAUCGAAGACAGUGAUUUGGUGCAAUGGAAACCAAGAUCUGGAAGCUUCCCUUAUCUUGUCAGCCUAAGCAUGAAACAUUGCUACAAACUAGAAGAGAUCCACUGGUCGUCUCGUUCGGGGAGGGGAACGAUUGAAUUAGUGAAUUGCAAUCCAAUAGCUUUGACUUGUGUCAGGCAGUUACAACCGACUCAACCUACUCUUUUUGAUGUUACUGCCUCUUCUUCUUUUGACGAGAAACCCACUACUAUCAAGUUUACGAGGUAUUGGUCUGGGUUUGAAUAAAAGGGUCAGAAAGGUGUCACGCCCUCUAUUUUGCUAUAU